AUCAUCAGUCAUAUGCUAGAUUGGCUCGACUUGAAUUUAUUUGUGAAUCUUGUGAAAAUUCUUUUCUAGUCUUCACACAUGCUUUGAUCAAAGACCUUCUGAACUUAAUCUCGUAAAUCUCAUAAAACUUCUUCUUUUCUAUCAAGAUCGAUAGAUUCCAUCUAGGUGCAUCCUACUCCAAAUAGCAAAUUUGAACCUA
rnacentral:lncRNA from 1 species